UAGGAUGUAGUGUAAUUGGUAGCACUGAGAUUUUUGAAUUCUCGAGAUUUUUGAAUUCUCAAGUUUAGGUUCGAUUCCUGUAGUUCUAG
rnacentral:tRNA from 1 species